AAAAAAACACUGCCCUUCCUUUCUGUGUGCAUGUGCAUAACUGCAUUUCAUGUCUGUAUGCACAAUAUGUGAUAAAUAGACGUUGGGAAUUUAACCACAUCACUGAUGGUGCAGGAUAGGCAUUGAAUUAAAUUUUAUCAAGUACAAAUAGUGUUGUUUUGGUUUGUUUAAUUCUAAACUAUCAAUUAAUCGUGGAGUUAGAGCUUAGAAGCCAUAGAACAUGUGCAAAACAUUCAAUAAUGCUUGAAAACAAUCAGGUUAAGUCAUUU
rnacentral:misc_RNA from 1 species